rnacentral:lncRNA from 1 species
ACAUGAGCGCCAAGCAGAGCGGCCUGGCCGCCGCUCACGGCGCACGCGCGCGUACUCGGCUCGGAUCUACCUUCCAGUAGCAGCGGAGUGGCCAAUGGGACCGGGACCAGAGCCGGGGGCCGGAGGCCGCCGCCGCGGGGAGGUUCCCGGCCCAGGUGCCCAGCGCUCACCAGCCCGGCGGCGCCGCGGCGGCCCCGCAGCUGUUUCCUCGGGGGGGCGUGGCGUCGGGGGCCUUCGCGGCGCAGUCCUCUUUCAGCAUCCCGAACAGCAGCAGCGGCCCGUAGGACUCGCAGGACUCGGUGCACAGCAGCCCUGAGGAUGGCGGCGGCGGCCGGCACCGGCCGGUGGGCUGGAGCCCCGGCGGGCCGCUCCUGGUGAUCGGCUCCUUACCAGCUCACCUCUCACCGCGCAUGUUUGGAG